GUCCAAGUAAAAUUUCAAAUCACUUGAAUGCGAAGUUCCGUAUUGACAUGACUUCAACCCCUUAGGAAUUUGAUAGGAAGAGAGCUUUACAUUGCUCCACUGUAUCUUCAGGGCUGGUAACUGUGUGACCCACAGUUCGUUCUGAUUCAUAUAUUUCAUGAUCAUUUCCUCCCUUGUAAGUUUUGUCCCCAAAGAAGUGGAUUUCAUCAAACUCAUCAAGGUAUCUCAAGCAGUAUGUCUUGUCCCAACCUUGAGGAAAAACAUCAAAGCUUAUCUGUCCGCCUAUUGAGAAUGUCAGGUUAAGGUGAGCGAACUUCUCACGCAGCACAGAUACCAUUUUUGAGCGUAUGUUAUGGACCUUGUCAUACUUUUCAAAUUCAUCCCUUUCUUCUUGGCUGCAAUUCCGCCCAAUUGGUGAUACAUUAAUCAUCCCACUCCGGAAUUCUAUAAAUGUGCCCCUUUUUAUUGGAAUAUCCAAGUCAGCAAUAUAAUGAAGUGUAAAAUUUAAAAAUUCCUUGAGUUUUUCUUCUCCAAGAAAUGUCUUCAUGCUCUGGGUGCCAAUAAGUUUCCCAUCUUUAUGAGCCACAAGCCCAUUCUCAGAAAAUACAUAGUCGUAGUCCUUAGUAACUGUCUUGCCAAGCUGCUCUGAUAUCUUACAGAGAUCAGAUCCACCCACCACUCCCACAGUAACAACUUUCCGGAGUUCCUGCAUGAACUCUAGCAUCUUUGGAGUGGCCAGCUUUCUUGGUGCUGUGAGAGUACCAUCAACAUCAAAUAAAGCAAUCAAACCGGGCUUUCUCACAGCCAUUGGAGCUAAUAUAUAUCUUUAUUUCCCAGCGAAUCAGCGAGUAGUAUGCAGCUUGGUUGUAUUAGAUUCCGCACCAGAAUCUGGAAACGGAAUUUAAACCAGAUCUCAAAUGGUGGAUCCCAAGGAUUGAG
rnacentral:misc_RNA from 1 species